AUUGAACGCUGGCGGCAGGCCUAACACAUGCAAGUCGAGCGGAUGAAGGGAGCUUGCUCCUGGAUUCAGCGGCGGACGGGUGAGUAAUGCCUAGGAAUCUGCCUGGUAGUGGGGGAUAACGUCCGGAAACGGGCGCUAAUACCGCAUACGUCCUGCGGGAGAAAGUGGGGGGUCUUCGGACAUCACGCUAUCAGAUGAGCCUAGGUCGGGUUAGCUAGUUGGUGGGGUAAAGGCCUACCAAGGCGACGAUCCGUAACUGGUCUGAGAGGAUGAUCAGUCACACUGGAACUGAGACACGGUCCUGACUCCUACGGUAGGCAGCAGUGGGGAAUAUUGGACAAUGGGCGAGAGCCUGAUCCAGCCAUGCCGCGUGUGUGAAGAAGGUCUUCGGAUUGUAAAGCACUUUAAGUUGGGAGGAAGGGCAGUAAGUUAAUACCUUGCUGUUUUGACGUUACCAACAGAAUAAGCACCGGCUAACUUCGUG
rnacentral:rRNA from 1 species